GCGACCGUAGCUCAGUUGGUAGAGCACCGGGUUGUGAUCCUGGUUGUCGCGGGUUCGAGCCCCGUCGGUCGCC
rnacentral:tRNA from 1 species